CGAAGGAACACUUUUCUUUUUUUUUUACCCUGUUGGAUAGAAGGCUAAAUAGCACAAAGAGGUUAAAAUGUCUUUGUUUUUGAUUAUAAUCUCUCUUUUUUUUUUGUGGAAAUAUUUCACAUGUUCAACGUAAACAUGAAUGCUCGUGAUAGAUUCAAUUCCAUUCGGCAAGCACUCUUUCAGUCCGAGUUGCUGUGAUUUGUUGUUCUAUUAUGCUUAAUUGUCGAAUAACAAUCUUGAUGGGAGCAAUUUAUGAAUAUCCUAUUUCCUCAAAUAGUGGCCUUCACUCUAAUAGACCGGCUAGCCAAAAUUACACUUUGAUGGGGAAUUACCUUCACUGUAGCUGCCUUUCCACCAACUGCUAAUGUUUGGCUACCAAACAGCUACAAGAGUAUGUAGCGCGACAUCAUAGCUUUUGGACAGCAUUAUUGACGUUAACUAAGAAGAAAAAUGUGACAGUACAGUGAGGUAAGUGCAUAACACCAUCCUUUUGGUAUCCUUUCAAUUGUGGUUUUCGACAAACUAUGGUAAAUUUAGAAACGGCGGUUUAAAAAAGAAACGUGUCCGUUAAACAAAUAACCAAACAAUGCGCAAGUGUGGGAUGGUCUUACAUUCUUUGCCGCAAGUGCAAAAAGCGCUUGAGCUUCUAUCGUAUGCGAUGGCGCAGAACCCGGGUGGGCAACAAUUACUUCCGUCUCCAUUACCGGAGAGGAACCAAGAAUAAAAGGAGCGAGGCCUCAUCUCAAACACCCCCACGGUCACUAUUUGAGGAAUCACGAUAUGAGAGUAUCUCACUUGAAGCCCUUGCCGUUUUGAGUAUGACUGGUUCAAGCGAUUGGAUUCUCGGGCCCGGGUUCAAAUUUCUUCCCCCCCCCCCAUCAUAUUCCAAUGUAUUCAUUAAAUCUCAAGGAGUUAUAAACUCCGCAUAAAUCACCCUUGGACUAACAUAACUAUUUAAGACUGGUCUUGAAAGAGUCAGCGGUUCGAUAGAAACGACGGACUCGCGCUUGAGAAACGAUGACGGCGCGCCCCUCUGCAAAAGCAAAUCAAAGAAUACACGUUUUGCAUAUCGAGCGUUAGCAUUUAAGGUAGUAUGGCACACCCCUUUAAAAACAUUCAAGGGUGGGAUAUCCAAAUAAUGCCUUUGUGUACACUUCCACCUCCCAGCAAGUGUUUCCCUCUAUCGUCCAUCCACGAGAGCUUUGGUUCGCUGAAACCACGCGAGAGAAGUGACGUCAACAGAAGAAGAAGAAGAAGGAGUAGAAGAAGAGGAAGGAAAAAGAAGAACUGAAAGGUCCAAGUGUGAUGAUGUGAGACUAACAUGGUCGCUGAGAGAAAGGUCUAGUGUCUAUCUUGACUGGUCCUAAGUCUACUAUAGUCACUACAUCUAUCAUAUUCAUGAGUUCUACAAAACAUCUACUUGUACUUCAGGGGGGGAGACGCCAGAGAAGGGAAGAGGAAGAGGAAAAGGAAGGAGAGGCGGAGCAGAGGGGAGAACAACAAUGAAGCACUAGACUGGGAGCAAAGACAGCACAGCGUUUACAAGUUAUUUCUUUACACACCCAUGAAAUACAUGAAUGAGUAACAAAA